rnacentral:pre_miRNA from 1 species
UGUCCUUCGCGAAUCUUUUUGCGGUCUGGGCUUGCUGUACAUAACUACCUAGCCGGGAAGCCCUUACCCCAAAAAGCAUUCGCGGAGGGCG